AUGAACGCUAGCGACAGGCUUAACACAUGCAAGUCGAGGGGCAGCACAGGUAGCAAUACCGGGUGGCGACCGGCGCACGGGUGAGUAACGCGUAUGCAACUUACCUAUCAGAGGGGGAUAACCCGGCGAAAGUCGGACUAAUACCGCAUGAAGCAGGGGCCCCGCAUGGGGAUAUUUGCUAAAGAUUCAUCGCUGAUAGAUAGGCAUGCGUUCCAUUAGGCAGUUGGCGGGGUAACGGCCCACCAAACCGACGAUGGAUAGGGGUUCUGAGAGGAAGGUCCCCCACAUUGGUACUGAGACACGGACCAAACUCCUACGGGAGGCAGCAGUGAGGAAUAUUGGUCAAUGGCCGAGAGGCUGAACCAGCCAAGUCGCGUGAGGGAUGAAGGUUCUAUGGAUCGUAAACCUCUUUUAUAAGGGAAUAAAGUGCGGGACGUGUCCCGUUUUGUAUGUACCUUAUGAAUAAGGAUCGGCUAACUCCGUGCCAGCAGCCGCGGUAAUACGGAGGAUCCGAGCGUUAUCCGGAUUUAUUGGGUUUAAAGGGUGCGUAGGCGGCCUUUUAAGUCAGCGGUGAAAGUCUGUGGCUCAACCAUAGAAUUGCCGUUGAAACUGGGGGGCUUGAGUAUGUUUGAGGCAGGCGGAAUGCGUGGUGUAGCGGUGAAAUGCAUAGAUAUCACGCAGAACCCCGAUUGCGAAGGCAGCCUGCCAAGCCAUGACUGACGCUGAUGCACGAAAGCGUGGGGAUCAAACAGGAUUAGAUACCCUGGUAGUCCACGCAGUAAACGAUGAUCACUAGCUGUUUGCGAUACACUGUAAGCGGCACAGCGAAAGCGUUAAGUGAUCCACCUGGGGAGUACGCCGGCAACGGUGAAACUCAAAGGAAUUGACGGGGGCCCGCACAAGCGGAGGAACAUGUGGUUUAAUUCGAUGAUACGCGAGGAACCUUACCCGGGUUUGAACGCAUUCGGACCGAGGUGGAAACACCUUUUCUAGCAAUAGCCGUUUGCGAGGUGCUGCAUGGUUGUCGUCAGCUCGUGCCGUGAGGUGUCGGCUUAAGUGCCAUAACGAGCGCAACCCUUGCCACUAGUUACUAACAGGUAAAGCUGAGGACUCUGGUGGGACUGCCAGCGUAAGCUGCGAGGAAGGCGGGGAUGACGUCAAAUCAGCACGGCCCUUACAUCCGGGGCGACACACGUGUUACAAUGGCGUGGACAAAGGGAAGCCACCUGGCGACAGGGAGCGAAUCCCCAAACCACGUCUCAGUUCGGAUCGGAGUCUGCAACCCGACUCCGUGAAGCUGGAUUCGCUAGUAAUCGCGCAUCAGCCAUGGCGCGGUGAAUACGUUCCCGGGCCUUGUACACACCGCCCGUCAAGCCAUGGGAGCCGGGGGUACCUGAAGUCCGUAACCGAAAGGAUCGGCCUAGGGUAAAACUGGUGACUGGGGCU
rnacentral:rRNA from 1 species